AAAAAGCUCGUAGUUGGAUUUCGGUUAAGAGCGACCGGUCCGCCGUUUGGUGUGCACUGGUUGGUUUUAACUUCCUGUAGAGGACGUGCUCUGGGCUUAACGGUCUGGACUCGGAGUCUACGUGGUUACUUUGAAAAAAUUAGAGUGUUCAAAGCGGGCUUACGCUUGAAUAUUUCAGCAUGGAAUAACACUAUAGGACUCCUGUCCUAUUUCGUUGGUCUCGGGACGGGAGUAAUGAUUAAGAGGAACAGUUGGGGGCAUUCGUAUUUCAUUGUCAGAGGUGAAAUUCUUGGAUUUAUGAAAGACGAACUUCUGCGAAAGCAUUUGCCAAGGAUGUUUUCAUUAAUCGAGAACGAAAGUUGGGGGCUCGAAGAUGAUUAAGAUACCAUCCUAGUCUCAACCAUAAACGAUGCCGACUAGGGAUUGGCGGAUG
rnacentral:rRNA from 1 species